rnacentral:lncRNA from 1 species
ACAAAGCUAUUUAAAUAUUUCUGGAGAUAGAAUAACAGCCAUAUGAGUUACAAACAAAACUUACAUAUGAAAUAUAUUUAUAAGUUGAAAACUGCAUGUACACAAUAUUUAAGCCAAAUUUUUAAAAUAUCUGAUCAAAAUUCUGAUAAUAUUUGCAACUGAAAAAUUUAUUAUUAUUGUAAAUUCUGUAUUAUUUAAACAGUGAUUAGAUAUUCUGUAAAUUCAUAUGCAAAAAUAAUAUAAAUAGUCAUUAGAAAAACUUUGUGAGGACUGUGGUGGUGUCCAUUUUGUCAGAAUGGCCAUAAAAUUUGAUGGCGCGUGGAUACGUGACACUGAGGUCUGGGAUCAGAAAUUGACUCACAAACUUAUUUAAAUGAUAACUAAUGUUUAUUUAACAAAAGAAUAUAACAAAAAAGUUAUUUAAAACUGAAUCUAAUAUGAUACAAUGUAGAGAGAGAGAGAGUGUUAAGAGUUUCACAAGCCUUCCAUAUACCUUAGAGAGAAUUUGCCAAAACUAAAUCAUUAAUACUAAAUCCAUUUGACAAUUAUUCGUAUGCUAACAUUAAAUGUCUCUCUUGUUCACAAAUGUCCUUUGUAAAGUUUAACAUAUUCGUUGCUGAUGUCCGUCGUUGUCAUCUAUCUUAUAUGUCAGCCAUCGUCAUCAUCCAUCAUCUGUCACCUGUUGUCUCCAUUGGGCUUGCCACCUCAAUGGGACGAGUUGUUUCCAAUGUUGUUGCGCUUACAUUUUUGUUGUUUUUCUCAGACACUAACAAAUUAUUAACUUUUUCUUCUUUGACUGUUGACUACCCUCUUUUGACUCUGACUUUCUACUGGCUGACUAAUCUUUUCAUAUUUAUUUGAUGUCUUCAAAGGGAACUUUCCCAGGGUAUUUCUAGAUGAAAAUAACUUGUAGUUCCUCAUCAGUUAUGACUAAUCUUUUCAUAUUUAUUUGAUGUCUUCAAAGGGAACUUUCCCAGGGUAUUUCUA